GACGUAGGGGACGAGCGUUGUCCGGAUUCAUUGGGCGUAAAGCGCGCGUAGGCGGCCACGCAAGUCGGGUGUGAAAUCCCGGAGCUCAACUCCGGAACUGCACUCGAAACUGCGCGGCUUGAGGUAGGUAGGGGAGAUCGGAAUUCCUGGUGUAGCGGUGGAAUGCGCAGAUAUCAGGAGGAACACCGGUGGCGAAGGCGGAUCUCUGGGCCUUACCUGACGCUGAGACGCGAAAGCUAGGGGAGCGAACGGG
rnacentral:rRNA from 1 species